rnacentral:rRNA from 1 species
AUUGAACGCUGGCGGCAGGCCUAACACAUGCAAGUCGAACGGUAACAGGAAACAGCUUGCUGUUUCGCUGACGAGUGGCGGACGGGUGAGUAAUGUCUGGGAAACUGCCUGAUGGAGGGGGAUAACUACUGGAAACGGUAGCUAAUACCGCAUAACGUCGCAAGACCAAAGAGGGGGACCUUCGGGCCUCUUGCCAUCGGAUGUGCCCAGAUGGGAUUAGCUAGUAGGUGGGGUAACGGCUCACCUAGGCGACGAUCCCUAGCUGGUCUGAGAGGAUGACCAGCCACACUGGAACUGAGACACGGUCCAGACUCCUACGGGAGGCAGCAGUGGGGAAUAUUGCACAAUGGGCGCAAGCCUGAUGCAGCCAUGCCGCGUGUAUGAAGAAGGCCUUCGGGUUGUAAAGUACUUUCAGCGGGGAGGAAGGGAGUAAAGUUAAUACCUGUACUCAUUGACGUUACCCGCAGAAGAAGCACCGGCUAACUCCGUG